AACGAACGCUGGCGGCAUGCCUAACACAUGCAAGUCGAACGAGAUUUUCGGGUCGAGUGGCGCACGGGUGCGUAACGCGUGGGAACAUGCCUUUAGGCUCGGAAUAACUCCCCGAAAGGGGUGCUAAUACCGGAUAAUUUCUUCGUACUAAAGAUUGAUCGCUAUUGGAUGGGCGGGCGUUGGAUUAGUUAGUUGGUAGGGUAAAAGCCUAUCAAGGCGAAGAUCCAUAGCUGGUCUGGGAGGAGGGACAGCGACACUGGGACUGAGAGACGGACCAGAGUCGUACGGUAGGCAGCGGGGGAGAAUAUUGGACAGCGGGCGAAAGCGUGGGCCGGCAGUGCUGCGUGAUUGAUGCAGGUCUUAUAGUUGUAAAGCUCUUCUACCCGGGAUGUUAAUGACAGUACCGGGAGAAUAAGCACCGGCUAACUCCGUG
rnacentral:rRNA from 1 species